UACGGAUUCGACAGGGGUAGUUCGAGCUUGGGUUGCGCGUCGAGGUUACGGCUCGUAAAACGUUACUCGCCUAAAUAUAACUGGCAAAGAAAACAAUUACUCUUUAGCAGCAGCGUAAGCUCUGCUUUAGGAUCCUUCCUACCAUCGCCCGUGUGGUAGAUUGAAGGGUCUCAAACUUAAGCGGGCUAAGGCUAAUGUCCACCGUCUGAGGGCGUUAGUCGAAAUGAAUCAGACUAGCUUUCUGGAAGCCUGUUGGUAGGCUGAAGGAAAAGCGAAAUACGAAUAUACCAACUACACGUGUAGAAGCCUAAGUGGCGUUAUCUCUGGACGUGGGUUCGAUUA
rnacentral:tmRNA from 1 species